AGAGUUUGAUCCUGGCUCAGGACGAACGCUGGCGGCGUGCCUAAUACAUGCAAGUCGAGCGGGGUUACUUUCACGGAUUCCUUCGGGAUGAAGCGAAUUUAACCUAGCGGCGGACGGGUGAGUAACGCGUGGAUAACCUGCCCUAAAGUCUGGGAUAACAUCGAGAAAUCGAUGCUAAUACCGGAUACCUUUUAUCUAAGGCAUCUUAGAUAAAAGAAAGGUAACGCUUUAGGAUGGAUCCGCGUCCCAUUAGCUAGUUGGUGAGGUAACGGCUCACCAAGGCGACGAUGGGUAGCCGGCCUGAGAGGGUGACCGGCCACACUGGGACUGAGACACGGCCCAGACUCCUACGGGAGGCAGC
rnacentral:rRNA from 1 species